GCCGACGUAGCUCAGUUGGUAGAGCAGCGGUUUCGUAAACCGCAGGUCGUCGGUUCAAGUCCGACCGUCGGCUCCA
rnacentral:tRNA from 1 species